ACUAAAUAGCACCGGCGGAAAGGGGGCAAAUUCUGGGACGACAAUUUCGGCGAUCGACUGCUGAAUCCUGAGGAUCUUCGUCGACAAGACCCGAGUUUGGUUCGCGUCUCGGUGGACUUCGGAAGGCUUGGGUUUUUUCUCUCAUCAAGGUUUUAUGAGCUGCAUUUUGGUGUUGUCUUAAAGUUUGGAGGCCAAAAUGUCGUCUUGCCGGCAGUUCUCACGGAUCGAUACCGCUGAGCUCAAGUCUCAGCUAUUCAAGAAGCUUGGGCGCCAAAAAGCUGAGAGGUACUUCUAUAACCUCAAGAGAUUACUUAGCUUGAAACUCAGCAAGUUGGCGUUCGAGAAGUUGUGCUAUGGGAUUAUUGGGAAGGAAAAUCUUGCCCUUCAUAAUUUGUUCAUCAGAUCGAUCCUUAGCAAUGCUUGUCUCGCACUUGCACCACCUAGCAGAGAAACGAUCACGGGAAAUUCGCGGACAUCUAAAAUGUCAAGCUUUGGUGAAACCUUCCCGACAUCACCCAGGAGGGGAAGGUCGAUAAACAGCAGGGACAGGAGAUUAGGUGACCGAGCAAGCCUCCUAGGGCCUUAUGGGAAGAUUCCUCCUGGACAUGUUCAAGAAGUCACAAAUUCUUGUGAUCUACAAAGGUCGAGAGAGCAGCAAAGUGCUCCGGAGUUGAUAUCCAUUGGUAGCAAAGCUCUAGCAUCUGUGGAAGAUGGGGAAGAGGUUGAACAAUUUAGACAUAGCCCGAGUGUUCAAAGUAGAAGUCCUCUAAGGCCUCCUCUAGGCAUUCCGAUGGCUGCUGGUGAUCUUCCACGCAAAUCAUAUCGUAGUGGAUUUGCUUCAAGCUUUCGACAUGUCCAGUCAAACAUGAUUGUUGGCUGUCAUCACACUUCUCAACUGCCAGAUACGAGGACUUUGAUGGGUUGGUUGGAGCGUAAGCUGGAGGCUGAGGGCUUUGGUUUGUCAAUUGACUGUGCAAAUGUCUUAAAUCAUGGACUAGAUGCACUUUUGAGGAGGUUGAUAAAACCCUGUAUGGAUUUAGCUAGAGCAAGGCACAGUUCAAUUAGGAUGACUCGAGCAAAUGGAAAUAUUUUUCCAAAUACGAAAGGUUUAUGGCAACUGGAUCAAGUGCAAACCUCAAAUGAGUCCUCCCAUUCUUCUUUACUUGAUUUUCGGCUGGCCAUGGAAUCCAAUCCUGAAUUACUUGGUGGUGAUUGGCCUCAACAGCUUGAGAAAAUAUGUUUGCAUUUAUCGGAUUAAUGAAAUAUGACCUGUGCAUGGUUCAGUCCCUUUGUUGUUGUGAUUUCAUGGUCAUUCCAAAUUAAAAGUUCCUGUGCCUCUUGGAGCUUUCAAUACUGUUGAAGUAAGAAUAUGCAACUAUUGUUCUUCUAAGAAUCUAGAACGGAAAGAGAAUAUUUCAGUUUCAGGACACCGUGAACUUACACAUCAAACAUCAUGCCAACAUUUGUCACAGAGGACAAAGAGAUACACUUUCCCCUUGAUAGUCAUUUCCAUCAAUGUCAGCUGGUUAUGGAGCAUGGCUCAGAAUUGUGAUUGCUUCAUUGAAGAUUUGCCAAAAGAGGGCAUGAGCAUCCGUCAAGCAAGGUAAGCCAUGUAAACUAGUUUUCAGUUUCAGCCAAGGCAAAAUUAGGCAAGAGAGAGAGCCUUGAGCAAUACCCUAAAUUGUUUAUGAGCAGUCUGUCUGAGCCUUGGAGCUGAAGCUUAUAUGAACAUUAGCAAUCCUCAGAUAUUUCGGAUUUCCAAUGAACUGGAUGAGCAUAGAAGAGAAGUUACACACGUUGCCAUACAGAACUAUCUUCAUGUUGAAGGCACAGAUGGUUGAUGAUCCAAUGGCACAAGAGUAUUACCUGUUCAGAAAUCUGAUUUGAAAAUUUUGAUCAUGUUGUAUCAUGUCAAAGUAGUUCUAAUGAUAUCGCCCGGUUGUUGUAUCCUAAGAACCCUCCAAUUCUUAUGGGUCAUCAGGAUCUGAAGAUUCCAUUGAAUUGAAUUAUUUCAGUUUCCUCCCUUAUUAUUUUUGGGUUUCGCUUAAUUAUGAUGAAUCAGUUCAUCUGGUCUAUCUCUUGACUUUGUAUAUAAUUUUCCA